UACGAAGGGAGCUAGCGUUGUUCGGAAUCACUGGGCGUAAAGCGCACGUAGGCGGCAUUGCAAGUCGGAUGUGAAAUCCCUCGGCUUAACCAAGGAAGUGCAUCCGAAACUGCAGUGCUUGAGUACUUAAGAGGAUCGCGGAAUUCCCGGUGUAGAGGUGAAAUUCGUAGAUAUCGGGAGGAACACCAGUGGCGAAGGCGGCGAUCUGGGAAGAUACUGACGCUGAGGCGCGAAAGCGUGGGGAGCAAACAGG
rnacentral:rRNA from 1 species